UGGAACAUGGACCGUUGGUUUUCAUUUUUCAACAUCCACCGCUCAUAGCCUUGUUCAGGGUAGCGGUGGGGGUAUUUGUUUACUUUUUAAUUAAAUGGUGCAUCAUAUCGGUGACUUAUUAUAAACAGAUAAUUUAAAAUUUUAAUUGGAACUACUCCCACCGUUCCAAAUCGUAGAUCUUUUCUAGGUUCAUAGAUAUUGAUAAGAACAUCACUUGCUCGGAUAUAACCACAUUAGUAACUUUUG
rnacentral:lncRNA from 1 species